AACAGGUAAUAUAAGAAGGUUCGUAUAUUCUUGAGAAUAUGGCUCAAGAGUUUCUACGGGGUCGCCAUUAACGACCUGGCUACGAACAAAAUGUCAACGGGA
rfam:Brevibacillus choshinensis strain DSM 8552 scaffold3, whole genome shotgun sequence.